UACGUAGGGUCCGAGCGUUGUCCGGAAUUAUUGGGCGUAAAGGGCUCGUAGGCGGUUUGUCGCGUCGGGAGUGAAAACACGGGGCUUAACCCCGUGCCUGCUUCCGAUACGGGCAGACUAGAGGUAUGCAGGGGAGAACGGAAUUCCUGGUGUAGUGGUGAAAUGCGCAGAUAUCAGGAGGAACACCGGUGGCGAAGGCGGUUCUCUGGGCCUUACCUGACGCUGAGGAGCGAAAGCGUGGGGAGCGAACAGG
rnacentral:rRNA from 1 species